rnacentral:rRNA from 1 species
GAUGAACCGCCGGGCGGGUGUGCCCUAAUACGAUGCAAGUCGUACGCGACUGGCCCAAACGUGAUUGAUGGUGCUUGCACCUGAUUGAUGAUGGAUCACCAGUGAGGUGGCGGACGGGUGAGUAACACGUAGGUAACCUGCCCCGGAGCGGGGGAUAACAUUUGGAAACAGAUGCUAAUACCGCAUAACAAUAAAAGCCGCAUGGCUUUUAUUUGAAAGAUGGCUUUGGCUAUCACUCUGGGAUGGACCUGCGGUGCAUUAGCUAGUUGGUAAGGUAACGGCUUACCAAGGCGAUGAUGCAUAGCCGAGUUGAGAGACUGAUCGGCCACAAUGGAACUGAGACACGGUCCAU